AACAUGGGGCGAGAGGAGCAUCGCUGCAAAAAGAGCAUGGAUGCUGCCAUCCUCGAGGACCGGGCCUUCAUCCAGAACGAGGCCAAGGAGAAAAUGGGAGGAGUAAACAGGUGGCGUUCCUGUGUCACAGACAUCGAGUCCCACGAGUGACUCUGGUUUCGGCUGGAUGUGUUUGUGUCGAAUCAAGAGCAGGUGAUGGAGCGGCCACUGCUCAAUCUCAUGAUGAAGUACGCCUACACCACGACUUGGCUGCGGGACGCUCCUGCCAUGCUAUAAGUUGGUACAUGGAAGAUGGGGAAGAUCUCCAAGAAUUGGCUGCAAUGUCUUCAAAUUCCAGUGCCCUGGAUUGAGUUGGCCAUUGCGUACUAUUCUGCUGUCAAAAGGAUCAUCCUAUAGAGGCGAGAACUGGCUGGUUCACAAAUUUUGUGAUUUACAACUGUUUUACAGUUUUGGAGCCAAUUGAAAUAUCCAGUGUUUUUAAUGAGAGCUGAUGCAUCCCCAAACGGAGAUUGUAAGGUGUUGCUGUUUUCCUGGAUGGAAACUCUUCCGUCGUAGCAUCCAGUUGGGACUUGCUAUGGCAAGAGUGUCAGCGCAGGAGACAACACCAGGACAAAAAUGAAGCUCUUGGCAGACAUGAGGCUUGGAAGGGACAACUUUUACACUUUACUUCCAUCAGUCGAGAAGAACCGAUCCAUCACAGUCCUGAAGAACAGCAAAGUUAGAAGACAAGAAUUUAAAUCUUGCAAAGCUACUCCUGUCGAUGAAACAGUCGUGGAAGUGCAAGCGAAGAACUCCUGCUGGAUCUCGAGUAACUGUGGUAGCCAUUCUUGUAUCCUCCACUCUCAUCAUGAUCCAAAACACUAGCUCAGAGACAGCAGAAGCAAAACCAAAAUGUUCCCUCUCCAACUUCCCAUCCUCAGGUAUUGCAGCUUGGCAUGUCUUCUUCCUCCUCGAAUUUUCUUGGCAGUAAUCGAUGAUCUGAAGAUGAGAGUCGUUCCGUGAUGAAGUGGGUCACUGAUACAAGGCUCUUAUAGUCCAGGUUAAGCCGUCACAAACCGUGUCUGCUGCCUCUAAUGAGUGUUUCCAUGCUUAAGAAAUCCUUUGACAUCA